GAUGAACGCUGGCGGCGUGCCUAAUACAUGCAAGUCGAGCGAACGGACGAGAAGCUUGCUUUUCUGAUGUUAGCGGCGGACGGGUGAGUAACACGUGGAUAACCUACCUAUAAGACUGGGAUAACUUCGGGAAACCGGAGCUAAUACCGGAUAAUAUUUUGAACCGCAUGGUUCAAAAGUGAAAGACGGUCUUGCUGUCACUUAUAGAUGGAUCCGCGCUGCAUUAGCUAGUUGGUAAGGUAACGGCUUACCAAGGCAACGAUGCAUAGCCGACCUGAGAGGGUGAUCGGCCACACUGGAACUGAGACACGGUCCAGACUCCUACGAGAGGCAGCAGUAGGGAAUCUUCCGCAAAGGGCGAAAGCCUGACGGAGCAACGCCGCGUGAGUGAUGAAGGUCUUCGGAUCGUAAAACUCUGUUAUUAGGGAAGAACAUAUGUGUAAGUAACUGUGCACAUCUUGACGGUACCUAAUCAGAAAGCCACGGCUAACUACGUG
rnacentral:rRNA from 1 species